UUUAUGGAGAGUUUGAUCCUGGCUCAGGACGAACGCUGGCGGCGUGCCUAAUACAUGCAAGUCGAGCGGACAAUUGAGAGCUUGCUCUCAAUUGUUAGCGGCGGACGGGUGAGUAACACGUGGGCAACCUGCCCUGUAGACUGGGAUAACUUCGGGAAACCGAAGCUAAUACCNGAUAAUCUUUUGCGUCUCAUGGCGCGAAAGUAAAAGUUGGGUUUUACCUAACACUACAGGAUGGGCCCGCGGCGCAUUAGCUAGUUGGUAAGGUAACGGCUUACCAAGGCGACGAUGCGUAGCCGACCUGAGAGGGUGAUCGGCCACACUGGGACUGAGACACGGCCCAGACUCCUACGGGAGGCAGCAGUAGGGAAUCUUCCGCAAUGGACGAAAGUCUGACGGAGCAACGCCGCGUGAACGAUGAAGGCCUUCGGGUCGUAAAGUUCUGUUGUUAGGGAAGAACAAGUACCGUUCAAAUAGGGCGGUAC
rnacentral:ncRNA from 1 species